AACGCGAAGAACCUUACCUGGGCUUGACAUGCAGAGGAAAUGCUCUCGAAAGUGAGCACCUCCCGCAAGGGAUCUCUGUGCAGGUGGUGCAUGGCUGUCGUCAGCUCGUGUCGUGAGAUGUUGGGUUAAGUCCCGCAACGAGCGCAACCCUUAUCGUUAGUUGCCAGCGAGUCAAGUCUGGCACUCUAGCGAAACCGCCCCGGAUAACGGGGAGGAAGGUGGGGAUGACGUCAAGUCCUCAUGGCCUUUAUGUCCAGGGCUACACACGUGCUACAAUGGACGGUACAAAGGGCUGCCGACCCGCAAGGGGGAGCCAAUCCCAAAAAACCGUUCUCAGUUCGGAUUGCAGGCUGCAACUCGCCUGCAUGAAGCUGGAAUCGCUAGUAAUGGCGGAUCAGAACGCCGCCGUGAAUACGUUCCCGGGCCUUGUACACACCGAUAGC
rnacentral:rRNA from 1 species